rnacentral:rRNA from 1 species
GGACGAACGCUGGCGGCGUGCCUAACACAAUGCAAGUCGAACGGAACUCUUUGGAACAAGGCUUCGGCCAAGGGAAUUUGAGUUUAGUGGCGGACGGGUGAGUAACGCGUGAGCAACCUGCCCUUCGGAGGGGGACAACAGUUGGAAACGACUGCUAAUACCGCAUGACAUACAGAGAUCGCAUGGUCAUUGUAUCAAAGAUUUAUCGCCGAAGGAUGGGCUCGCGUCUGAUUAGCUGGUUGGUGAGGUAACGGCUCACCCAAGGCGACGAUCAGUAGCCGGACUGAGAGGUUGAACGGCCACAUUGGGACUGAGAUACGGCCCAGACUCCUACGGGAGGCAGCAGUGGGGAAUAUUGGGCAAUGGGGGCAACCCUGACCCAGCAACGCCGCGUGAAGGAAGAAGGCUUUCGGGUUGUAAACUUCUUUUAUCAGGGACGAUAAUGACGGUACCUGAUGAAUAAGCCACGGCUAACUACGUGCCAGCCGCUGC